CUCGUAGGCGGUUCGUCGCGUCCGGUGUGAAAGUCCAUCGCUUAACGGUGGAUCCGCGCCGGGUACGGGCGGGCUUGAGUGCGGUAGGGGAGACUGGAAUUCCCGGUGUAACGGUGGAAUGUGUAGAUAUCGGGAAGAACACCAAUGGCGAAGGCAGGUCUCUGGGCCCGUUACUGACGCUGAGGAGCGAAAGCGUGGGGAGCGAACA
rnacentral:rRNA from 1 species